GCCAGUGUGGUAUAGUGGUUUGAGUGUUGGACUACAACUCUGGAGACCAGGGUUUGAUUCCCAGCUCAGCCA